rnacentral:snRNA from 1 species
GGAUGCGAGGGUGAUCUGGCUGCGACAUCUGUCACCCCGUGGGUCACCAGGGUUGAUUUGGCUGAUCUGGCUGGUGAGGGGGGUGUCCCCCUCCCUCUCCACUCCAUGUGCGUCCCUCCCAAAACUGCACGCUUGGUCGAAGGGAAUGACUUUCCCCGAGAGAGACGCACCAUUCAUCAGUCAAGGUACAGGGAAGCUCUGCUCCCCUGCAAGAACCUCCAAAUAAUUGAUACUUAAAAACUGUUUGGAAUAACAGAGGCAGACAAAGUCCCCUCUCAAAAAAAAAUUAAAAUCUGACGGUGCACAGUAAGAUUU